GGUGAGAUGGCUGAAUUAGGUGAUGGAUUGUAAAUCUGUUAAUGAAAUAUUUUUAUUUCUCUCACCA
rnacentral:tRNA from 1 species